rnacentral:rRNA from 1 species
AGACCCGAAACCCGGUGAUCUAGCCAUGGGCAGGUUGAAGGUUGGGUAACACUAACUGGAGGACCGAACCGACUAAUGUUGAAAAAUUAGCGGAUGACCUGUGGCUGGGGGUGAAAGGCCAAUCAAACCGGGAGAUAGCUGGUUCUCCCCGAAAGCUAUUUAGGUAGCGCCUCGUGAACUCAUCUCCGGGGGUAGAGCACUGUUUCGGCUAGGGGGCCAUCCCGGCUUACCAACCCGAUGCAAACUGCGAAUACCGGAGAAUGUUAUCACGGGAGACACACGGCGGGUGCUAACGUCCGUCGUGAAGAGGGAAACAACCCAGACCGCCAGCUAAGGUCCCAAAGUCAUGGUUAAGUGGGAAACGAUGUGGGAAGGCCCAGACAGCCAGGAUGUUGGCUUAGAAGCAGCCAUCAUUUAAAGAAAGCGUAAUAGCUCACUGGUCGAGUCGGCCUGCGCGGAAGAUGUAACGGGGCUAAACCAUGCACCGAAGCUGCGGCAGCGACACUUUAGUGUUGUUGGGUAGGGGAGCGUUCUGUAAGCCGUUGAAGGUGUCCUGUGAGGGGUGCUGGAGGUAUCAGAAGUGCGAAUGCUGACAUAAGUAACGAUAAAGCGGGUGAAAAGCCCGCUCGCCGGAAGACCAAGGGUUCCUGUCCAACGUUAAUCGGGGCAGGGUGAGUCGACCCCUAAGGCGAGGCCGAAAGGCGUAGUCGAUGGGAAACGGGUUAAUAUUCCCGUACUUGGUGUUACUGCGAAGGGGGGACGGAGAAGGCUAUGUUGGCCGGGCGACGGUAGUCCCGGUUUAAGCGUGUAGGUGUGUGUUCCAGGCAAAUCCGGUUCACUUUAACACUGAGGCGUGACGACGAGGCACCACGGUGCUGAAGCAACAAAUGCCCUGCUUCCAGGAAAAGCCUCUAAGCAUCAGGUAACAUCAAAUCGUACCCCAAACCGACACAGGUGGUCAGGUAGAGAAUACCAAGGCGCUUGAGAGAACUCGGGUGAAGGAACUAGGCAAAAUGGUGCCGUAACUUCGGGAGAAGGCACGCUGACACGUAGGUGAAGUGAUUUACUCAUGGAGCUGAAGUCAGUCGAAGAUACCAGCUGGCUGCAACUGUUUAUUAAAAACACAGCACUGUGCAAACACGAAAGUGGACGUAUACGGUGUGACGCCUGCCCGGUGCCGGAAGGUUAAUUGAUGGGGUCAGCGCAAGCGAAGCUCCUGAUCGAAGCCCCGGUAAACGGCGGCCGUAACUAUAACGGUCCUAAGGUAGCGAAAUUCCUUGUCGGGUAAGUUCCGACCUGCACGAAUGGCGUAAUGAUGGCCAGGCUGUCUCCACCCGAGACUCAGUGAAAUUGAACUCGCUGUGAAGAUGCAGUGUACCCGCGGCAAGACGGAAAGACCCCGUGAACCUUUACUAUAGCUUGACACUGAACAUUGAGCCUUGAUGUGUAGGAUAGGUGGGAGGCUUUGAAGCGUGGACGCCAGUCUGCGUGGAGCCGACCUUGAAAUACCACCCUUUAAUGUUUGAUGUUCUAACGUGGACCCGUAAUCCGGGUUGCGGACAGUGUCUGGUGGGUAGUUUGACUGGGGCGGUCUCCUCCUAAAGAGUAACGGAGGAGCACGAAGGUUGGCUAAUCCUGGUCGGACAUCAGGAGGUUAGUGCAAUGGCAUAAGCCAGCUUGACUGCGAGCGUGACGGCGCGAGCAGGUGCGAAAGCAGGUCAUAGUGAUCCGGUGGUUCUGAAUGGAAGGGCCAUCGCUCAACGGAUAAAAGGUACUCCGGGGAUAACAGGCUGAUACCGCCCAAGAGUUCAUAUCGACGGCGGUGUUUGGCACCUCGAUGUCGGCUCAUCACAUCCUGGGGCUGAAGUAGGUCCCAAGGGUAUGGCUGUUCGCCAUUUAAAGUGGUACGCGAGCUGGGUUUAGAACGUCGUGAGACAGUUCGGUCCCUAUCUGCCGUGGGCGCUGGAAGACUGAGGGGGGCUGCUCCUAGUACGAGAGGACCGGAGUGGACGCAUCACUGGUGUUCGGGUUGUCAUGCCAAUGGCACUGCCCGGUAGCUAAAUGCGGAAAAGAUAAGUG